rnacentral:rRNA from 1 species
GACGAACCGUGCGAACGUUAUUCGGAAUCACUGGGCUUAAAGCGCGUGUAGGCGGGCCGCCACGUCAGUCGCUGAAAUCCCCCGGCUCAACCGGGGAACGGGCACUGAUACGAGCGGCCUGGAGGGAGGUAGGGGGGGCUGGAACUUCCGGUGGAGCGGUGAAAUGCGUUGAGAUCGGAAGGAACGCCCGUGGCGAAAGCGAGCCCCUGGACCUUUUCUGACGCUGAGACGCGAAAGCUAGGGGAGCGAACGGG